rnacentral:misc_RNA from 1 species
GUAACACCUAAUGGCAGCUCUUAACUCGUUGUCUUUUCUCUCUAAUGUCUCUACCAAUUUGUUAUGGUGUUACACAUCAUUAUAUUUUCCUUGAUUCUGUAAUUAUCAAUACUAAUUAUUACAUUGGAUUAUUGUGCUCCAACCUCAAUGGAGAAACUGUUCUCAUGUGAAAUAUGUGAAAAGGAAUUCUCCGAAAUUUUGAAGCAACAUACUCUUGGUCAUGGCCGUGAAAGUGUGCUGAAAGCGGAAGAUGAGAACCCUCCGGAUACAAACGAUGUUAAUUCUAUUGUCAAUAACACCAAAAUAAACACUGUAAACGAAUGUCUCCAACCUGACAUGCAAGAACAUGAUAAAAGUGAAUUGGUUGAUGCCGACAAUCCUAUAGCCAUUGUGACAGUGACGGAGAGAGACGGAGCAGAUCAGCUUGAAAAUUAUGAUCAGCAACAACAGUUGGAAACCUUCAAAAAUAGUAAUGUUUUUGACACCAAUGAAUCUAACACUACUUGUAUUGGCAACCCAACUUACGAGCAUUCACUACAGCUUGAAGAAGCUGAUAUCAGAACCGGUGAGGAUUUGGACAACAGUGAUAAACUUGAGUUAUCAAAUCCAUCAGAUUUAGAGCAAGAAGAAGAAUGUUGUGGUACAAUUGCAUACAAUUGUGAAACAGAUAAUGAAAUAGUAAGUGAAGGCAAUGUCUGCCAGGAAACUCUUAAUUUAGCCACACAUCUUAUUCAAUUAUCCAGUAGUAACCCAGUGACACAAACAAACAGUGGUUAUACUGUAAGUAAGCCAUACAUGUGCAGUUUAUGCCAUAAGUGUUUCAGUCGCAACUACCAUCUAAAAAUGCAUUCCCUUACUCACUCGGGGCUAAAACCAUUUUCUUGUUUCACCUGUUCAAAAUCUUUUUCUCGCAGUUCUGACUUAAAACGCCAUUUAGCAACUCACACAGGGGUCAAACCCUUUGGCUGUACACUCUGUCAAAAAUAUUUUUCUCGUUCUUCUGAUUUACGUCGUCAUACUGCAACCCACAGUGGUGAACGGCCACAUUCAUGUCAAGUAUGUCAGAAAGCCUUUACCCGCAGCUCAGAUCUUCACAGACACAGUCAAACACACACAGGAAUCAAACCUCAUGCCUGCCAAAUAUGUGGUAAAGCUUUCUCUACAGCCACUCACCUCAAAAGACACACUACAACACACACUACAGAACAGAAAGCUUUCAAUGUGACCAUUGUUAGCAAUCUGACAUCAAAGUGCAUCACUUAAAUUCUUCUCUACUCUUUUAUACAAAUUGCAGCCCUGCAAGCAACACUGAUACAAACCAUAUCUCAGUGCCUCAUGUUCAAAAGAAACAGCAAGUUUUGUUGAAGUAAAUUAUUUAUUUAUUAGGAACUUAUAAUUACAACCACUUUCCUUUCUUUUUUUUUUUAACCAGUUAUUUUUUUUUAAUAUUUUCUUGUUUUUGUUUCUGUGAUGCUACAAUCUCUAAUGUGUAACUUUUCUCUGUAUUAUUUCUGUCAAUUGUUAUUUGUCCGGCCAUAAUUAUUGAGAUGUGAUAAGUCUACUGAUAGGAGGAACCGAGUUAUAGUUGGAGAUUCAGAGAAAUUAUUAUGAAGAAAUCAAUCAAUUAAUCAAUCUAAAGAUCAAUCAACUUCUGUAAUCACCUCAAAAGGAAACAAUUUGCGAGAGAUUUGCAUUCAAAAACAUAUUCUAUGAUGAUUGGCAGGAAUUGGCAAAUUGGACUCAGUUAAUAGAGACAGGUUGUUUUUUUUUCUGAUUAUUUUGAUGAUGAUGAUGCUGAUGAUGAUGAAGGCUGGAUGCAAAUAAUGUAAGAAGAAAGAUUAUCUGAGACCCAACACAGUAUCUAUGGAUUUAUCAUUGUUUAUUCAUGCCAUGGUGAUCUAUUUCCCCUUUCAUACCGUUUAAAUACCAGCAAUAUAACCAGGUUGAUCUAGCUUACUUCAAUACGGUCUCUAGUCACAAUGAAUUGUUAUUAAUACAGACGGAGGGAGAAGAUAGUGCCCAGGAUCCUUUGCAGGGCUUCUGAGGUUAGUGAAAAGGAGAGAAUAAGGAAAAUAUGUCUCUAGGGUUGUCAACCGAAACUUUCUUAACUAAAAUGAAUCAUGAAGCUAAUUGUUUUCUUUACUAAUGAAUGAUCUGAAUUCAUUAAACUAUUGUCAUCCUGCAUUCAAUAUUAAACCAUAAGUAUUUGAUAAGCAUUACCCAAGAAUGGAGUAGUGGAGCCAGUGUAUGGAAGUGUACAUAGCAGUAAAGAAGUUGAGAGAAACCGUGGCUGCCUUCUUGGUAUUGUUGGAGUGGUUAUUAGACAGAAUUUAUUGCAACAUUUGUCAGUUUGAGGAGUUUCUCUCUGGGAAUGUCAACUAAUCAAAACUAGUGUUUAAUUAAUGAUCCAUUUCUGAAAGAAUCAGGCCAGAGUUGAAUGGUGUCCCCCACCCUGUGGCCUCACCCUACUGUAACAAUAUUAACAAUAAAUAAAGUAUUUACUAACU